GUGGGGAAUAUUGGGCAAUGGGCGAAAGCCUGACCCAGCAACGCCGCGUGAAGGAAGAAGGUCUUCGGAUCGUAAACUUCUAUCCUUGGUGAAGAUAAUGACGGUAGCCGAGAAGGAAGCCCCGGCUAACUACGUGCCAGCAGCCGCGGUAAUACGUAGGGGGCAAGCGUUGUCCGGAAUGAUUGGACGUAAAGGGCGCGUAGGCGGCCUGGUAAGUCUGGAGUGAAAGUCCUGCUUUUAAGGUGGGAAUUGCUUUGGAUACUGUCGGGCUUGAGUGCAGGAGAGGUAAGUGGAAUUCCCGGUGUAGCGGUGAAAUGCGUAGAGAUCGGGAGGAACACCAGUGGCGAAGGCGACUUACUGGACUGUAACUGACGCUGAGGCGCGAAAGUGUGGGGAGCAAACAGGAUUAGAAACCCGUGUAGUCC
rnacentral:rRNA from 1 species